GCAAAAACCUUUGGCAAAGCCAGAAAUAGAAGUCGCCAGGUAAAAAUCCUAACCUCCAACCACUGAGCUCUCGCACUGGGCAGCUCUCCAUUUGUAUGGAAACAUAGAUCAUAAUCAAAGAUGUUUAGGUUAGUCACUGUGCUGUGGAUCACAGGUGAUUUCUUCUCUCUAUUUAUUGACUGAGCAAAGGGAAGCCCUUUGUUUAUCUUGAUAGAGUUUUUCUCCUUAUUUGUCUUUCUGGUUGUAACUGAACACCACAACUGAGAGAUUCCAAAAUCCGAACAGUGCAGGCAUCAGCUAACUGGAUUGCUUGAGAAUGGGGGAAAAUAUGGAUGGGGUUCAGGCACCUGAAGUCUGGAUUGCCAUGGGUCUGUGCCCUCUUGUGCCAGUGCCUCACUGACCACGCAGGAAGCAGGUACAUGAAGUUCAGGAAUUCAGCAAAAAUUAAUCACUCAAAAGAACGAAGAUUACUUUACCGACAGAUCAGCUCUUCAAAUCCAUCUGCUAGUGCCUGCAAAAGGACAAGAGGAAUCACUCUGAAUAUGGUAUUGCCAGUGUUGCAAGAUUAUCUUUGGGCCAACUCUUAGAAAAAGUUUCCAGAAGUCUCUGUGUUCUGCACAGAAGCACCAGUUCGGUGACCCAGGUGCAGCCCUUUUUUUUCCCCUUCAGUUUGCUGGUUGUGUUUUCAAAGGUCAUAGCAGCCAGAUCAUUGGAAAUAGAAAAUCUACCUAUUUAAAAGCACAGGGACAAAUCCUGCCUCCAGCUAUGUGUGCACCUGUAACACUGCUGCGUAGCAUCCAGAGAGAAGGCACGUUUAACAUGCCAGCAAGGACUCAGAGCUGUCUCCCGUUUUAAUGUACUGAAGAACAUCUGAAACACCUCCUGUCUUAAUCCUCCCCCAAAACUGCUGCUGAGAAGUGCUAUUAGCUUCAUUUUACUGAUGAGGGACUGAGGAACAGAGAAAACCACUCUUUUGUCUAAGGGAUUUUUGUAUGCAACCAUUUCUUGAGAAACAAGGAAGAAAUCAGAGUUAUUUGGGUCAUCUGCCUUGAGGAUCCUGGUCACCAGAUGAAGGAGUUAAAAACCAGCAGACAGACAAGAAGAACCCAGCCUUUUUGCCUUCGUACUACUACGGAAGCGCUGAGGCAAAUGCAAGAGGUGGAAGUUUCAAAACCAAUUAAUUUAGAUCAAGACUCAAUGGAAAUAUUCCAGCUAAGUUUUGUUAUCUCCAGUGUUUUUCAAGAGAUUUUGAAGCAAGCCAUUUUUGUUCUGAGGGAGAAAGCAGACAAAAUCUACAGCAGAUCCUGACGGAUGCGAUCUAUCCAAUUGCAUUAAUCUUCUCAAUGUGACGACAACUCCGCGGGCCACCCGGCUCUGUCUCGGCACAGAGCCAGCAUCCAGGGCGAUGGCCGCAACCCCAGCCCUCAGGACAGAGCAAAACAGCCUGCGAGCAGCCUUACAGCGGGUGUGAAGGCAACAGGAGCCAAGGAAUUAAAAUGAAACCACUUGUUAAAUUCUGCAUGACCUUUUCCUUCAUUUGCAAUAAGGCUGUUCUGUUUCCUGGAGAAGACUAGAACAGGACAAAGGUAUCUCCCCUUUUUGGUAUUCUUAGCAAUUCUGCAUUCGUAGUGCUUUUAGAAAUACAGUGCAGAUAUAUUUUCAUGAACAUAGGGACAUAUUUUGCAUUUUACUUUCUAAAUAAGGGGCUUUUUAUUAUUUAAAGAGAUCUAACAUAAGCUAGCACAGGCCUAACAUUCAGUAUUUUUGCUAAAUAACCAAGUCUGAAUUCAGCACCCUUCACAAGCCUCUGUAGGCACCCCAGCACUGAACACCCAGGAACAUGACAGAUGCCUCACAGGAAGCUGGCUCCUCAUCUUUACAUAAUAGUUUCUGCCUUUUCUUAGGGAAAUAAUUUUUCAUUGUCAGGUUUUGGAAAUGAAGGCGAUGUCUCAAAUACUUCCCCAGAUUUUUCAAAACUGAGGUGAUAAAUAUCACAGUGGCGUUUAUAUAUUUUAAAAGAAAAUUAAUGUUUCAGUGCGAGACACUAAGAAAACUAUGACACUGCCACCUCGUGGAUUCUGAGAUAAUAUCUAGAUCAUACUUUACCAUCACUAUUUACAUAGUGGCAUAAAUGUGUGUCGCAUUUCACAGCCAAAUAAUAGCUCGUUCCUUACCCACAUAAUUUUGAAAUAUAGAAUCCAUAUUUUCGUAAAUAUUUAAUCUUCUAAUGAUACAGGCGAGUGUCAUACUGUGAUUUAUGUAAGCAACUGUUUAAGUGAAGUUCCUAA